GAUGAACGCUGGCGGCGUGCCUAAUACAUGCAAGUCGAACGAGGUCUUCGGACCUAGUGGCGAACGGGUGAGUAACACGUUGGUACCUACCCCGAAGUGGGGAAUAACUGCCCGAAAGGGUGGCUAAUACCGCAUAAUACCGCAAGGUUAAAGCAGUAAUGUGCUUCGGGAGGGGCCUGCGUCCCAUUAGCUAGUUGGUAGGGUAAUGGCCUACCAAGGCGACGAUGGGUAGCUGGAUCGAGAGGUUGACCAGCCACACUGGGACUGAGAUACGGCCCAGACUCCUACGGGAGGCAGCAGUAAGGAAUCUUCCACAAUGGACGAAAGUCUGAUGGAGCAACGCCGCGUGCAGGAUGACGGCCUUCGGGUUGUAAACUGCUUUUAUACGGAAAGAUUAUGACGGUACCGUAUGAAUAAGGACCGGCUAACUACGUGCCAGCCGCCGCCGUAA
rnacentral:rRNA from 1 species